UACGUAGGGUGCGAGCGUUGUCCGGAAUUAUUGGGCGUAAAGAGCUCGUAGGCGGUUUGUCGCGUCGGCCGUGAAAUCUCCACGCUUAACGUGGAGCGUGCGGUCGAUACGGGCAGGCUAGAGUUCGGUAGGGGAGACUGGAAUUCCUGGUGUAGCGGUGAAAUGCGCAGAUAUCAGGAGGAACACCGGUGGCGAAGGCGGGUCUCUGGGCCGAUACUGACGCUGAGGAGCGAAAGCGUGGGGAGCGAACAGG
rnacentral:rRNA from 1 species